AUACGGAGGAUGCAAGCGUUAUCCGGAUUUAUUAGGUUUAAAGGGUGCGUAGGUGGGCGUUUAAGUCAGUGGUUAAAGCCAUUAGCUUAACUAAUGUAUGCCAUUGAUACUGGAUGUCUUGAAUAUGGUAGAGGUAGGCGGAAUGUGUUGUGUAGCGGUGAAAUGCUUAGAUAUAACACAGAACACCGAUUGCGAAGGCAGCUUACUAUUCCAUUAUUGACGCUGAUGCACGAAAGCGUGGGGAUCAAACAGGAUUAGAUACCCUGGUAGUCCACGCUGUAAACUAUGAUCACUCGUUUUUGGCGAUAUAUAGUCAGAGACUGAGCGAAAGCAUUAAGUGAUCCACCUGGGGAGUACGUUCGCAAGAAUGAA
rnacentral:rRNA from 1 species